GUAAAAAUAUUAUUUAAAAACA
rnacentral:tRNA from 1 species